rnacentral:lncRNA from 1 species
GUUCUCCGACCCGACCUCGUCCUUCAACGAUCCGAGCCACCUUCAGCUCCUUCAUCGACCCAGAACAGCCUCGAUCGACCACGACCACGAACUCCUUCAGCGAGCUCAUUCAAUGACCUGACCACGAACUCAUUCUCCCACCUGAGCUCGUCAUUGUCCGACUUGAGCCGGCUUGAGGUAGUUCUCCGAUCGCCACCAUCGUAGAUCGACAUCAUGAAAUUGGGGAGUUUGAAGGCUAGGACCUAUUAAUUUGGA